AUCAAAGUCCCCGGCCGGGGGGUGGCCGAAUCCCAGAUAACCUCUCCGGCCGACCAAUCAAAACCCCUUGCGGAAGAACGCGCCUCGCUAGCUUAUGUUAGACAACCAACCAGAAGCAUUAGAACUCAGACCUCGACUCCCCUCGGCUGACCAAUCAGAGCAAUUUCUCGCGAGCGCCGGCAGCAGCGACAGCCAAUGAAGCUAGAAGCCAGCCUAACACCCUCCAGGGUUUCUCUGUAGCUUUGGAGCCUGUCUUGGCACUCACUCCGGAGACCAGGCUGGCCUCGAACUCACAAAGAUCCUGCCUGCCUCUGCGAGUGCUGGGAUUAAAGGCGUGCGCCACCAACGCCACUGGCUUCAGGUAUCCUCUUAACAGUGUUUCUACACUUGAUCUUAACCAAGAGGUGAAGAAACGAUUUAACAGUAUUUCGAUUUUAGGAACUGACCUGGGAUUUUUACCAUUUCUUUCUUUUUCUUUUUCUUUUUCUUUUUUUUUUUUUGUUACUUUAAAUACAGACUUCCCAACCUGGUUGCCUUUUUACUACCUUUGUUUAAAUUUUUUUUUUUUUUCUGCCAACCAAAUGUGCCUGUAAGUGCCUUUCUACUUGUGCACCUUUCUAGAAUGUCUUAUCUGAAAGAUGCUUUAUGUUUACCAGUUCUAGCCGGUAAAGAGCCCCG
rnacentral:lncRNA from 1 species